rnacentral:misc_RNA from 1 species
GAAAUGCGAUAAGUAGUGUGAAUUGCAGAAUUCAGUGAAUCAUCGAAUCUUUGAACGCACAUUGCGCCCUUUGGUAUUCCUUAGGGCAUGUCUGUUCGAGCGUCAUCUAAACCUUCAAGCCCCGCUUGGUGUUGGGUGCCUGUCCCGCCUCCGCGCGCGGACUCACCUCAAAUCCAUUGGCGGCCCCCGCGUCGGCCACGAGCGCAGCAGAAACGCGAACUCGUGAGCCCGUCCGGGCGGCUCCCAGAAGCUACACCCACCCAGUUUGACCUCGGAUCAGGUAGGGAUACCCGCUGAACUUAAGC